UACGGGGGGGGCAAGCGUUGUUCGGAAUUACUGGGCGUAAAGGGCUCGUAGGUGGCCAACUAAGUCAGACGUGAAAUCCCUCGGCUUAACCGGGGAACUGCGUCUGAUACUGGAUGGCUUGAGUUUGGGAGAGGGAUGCGGAAUUCCAGGUGUAGCGGUGAAAUGCGCAGAUAUCUGGAGGAAUACCGGUGGCGAAGGCGGCAUCCUGGACCGACAUUGACGCUGAGGAGCGAAAGCUAGGGGAGCAAACGGG
rnacentral:rRNA from 1 species